GAAUUUGAAAAAUACGAUCAUCGUCUAUACUUCGUUGGCUUUUGAAGUCAGGAAAGUGCAAUUUUGUAAGAAUCAGUACACUUUCAAGUUAAGUCAAAGUUUUUGGUAAAAUUAGUUGACUGUAAAGUGAUAGGCACUCAUCAAUUAUAAUUAUGUCAUUAUUUUUGCGGAGAACAAACGGUAGGAACGACGACGUAUUCGAGUAUUUGAGAAACAAUGUUCGAGGACAGACGGCAUACCAGAUAACUGCAGCAAUUCAAGCAGAAACGAAGGAACCUCUGAAGGGCCACAAGUAUAGACAGUUGCAGAGGAUUAAACUCGAACAGUCGCCACAUGAUGAUGAUAGCACCGAAGCAAUGAAACUUAACGGUUUAGAUGAUGAGGAGAGGAUUUUCGUGACUUCAUUUGGAUUAUGCGUUAACUUCAUUCACUGAAUGGACGGAGUCAGAGCAUUUUGAUCUUCACAGUGUUGUGUGAAUUCAAGAAACUGCACAAGCCAGGUGAAGUUUAUUUUUUUAAGCUUACAAUAUUGAAUAUAUUUCCAUUGAAAAAACCUAAAACUUCA